CCUACGGGGGGCUGCAGUGGGGAAUAUUGGACAAUGGGGGGAACCCUGAUCCAGCCAUGCCGCGUGUGUGAAGAAGGCCCUCGGGUUGUAAAGCACUUUCUGUGAGGAAGAACGCCUGGUGGUUAAUACCCAUCAGGAAAGACAUCACUCACAGAAGAAGCACCGGCUAACUCCGUGCCAGCAGCCGCGGUAAUACGGAGGGUGCGAGCGUUAAUCGGAAUUACUGGGCGUAAAGCGCGCGUAGGUGGCUUGAUAAGCCGGUUGUGAAAGCCCCGGGCUCAACCUGGGAACGGCAUCCGGAACUGUCAAGCUAGAGUGCAGGAGAGGAAGGUAGAAUUCCCGGUGUAGCGGUGAAAUGCGUAGAGAUCGGGAGGAAUACCAGUGGCGAAGGCGGCCUUCUGGACUGACACUGACACUGAGGUGCGAAAGCGUGGGUAGCAAACAGGAUUAGAUACCCCGGUAGUC
rnacentral:rRNA from 1 species